GGGGAGGAUGUCGGAUUAUUGGGCGUAAGCGCGCGCAGGCGGUCCUUUAAGUCUGAUGUGAAAGCCCACGGCUCAACCGUGGAGGGUCAUUGGAAACUGGGGGGCUUGAGUGCAGAAGAGGAAAGUGGAAUUCCACGUGUAGCGGUGAAAUGCGUAGAGAUGUGGAGGAACACCAGUGGCGAAGGCGACUUUCUGGUCUGUAACUGACGCUGAGGCGCGAAAGCGUGGGGAGCAAACAGGAUUAGAUACCCUGGUAGUCCACGCCGUAAACGAUGAGUGCUAAGUGUUAGAGGGUUUCCGCCCUUUAGUGCUGCAGCUAACGCAUUAAGCACUCCGCCUGGGGAGUACGGCCGCAAGGCUGAAACUCAAAGGAAUUGACGGGGGCCCGCACAAGCGGUGGAGCAUGUGGUUUAAUUCGAAGCAACGCGAAGAACCUUACCAGGUCUUGACAUCCUCUGACAAUCCUAGAGAUAGGACGUUCCCCUUCGGGGGACAGAGUGACAGGUGGUGCAUGGUUGUCGUCAGCUCGUGUCGUGAGAUGUUGGGUUAAGUCCCGCAACGAGCGCAACCCUUGAUCUUAGUUGCCAGCAUUCAGUUGGGCACUCUAAGGUGACUGCCGGUGACAAACCGGAGGAAGGUGGGGAUGACGUCAAAUCAUCAUGCCCCUUAUGACCUGGGCUACACACGUGCUACAAUGGAUGGUACAAAGGGCUGCAAAACCGAGAGGUUAAGCCAAUCCCAUAGAACCAUUCUCAGUUCGGAUUGUAGGCUGCAACUCGCCUACAUGAAGCCGGAAUCGCUAGUAAUCGCGGAUCAGCAACGCCGCGGUGAAUACGUUCCCGGGUCUUGUACACACCGCCCGUCACACCACGAAAGUCGGUAAUACCCGAAGCCGGUGGCCUAACCUCUUGAGGAGGGAGCCGUCGAAGGUAGGAUCGAUGAUUGGGGUGAAGUCGUAACAAGGUAACC
rnacentral:rRNA from 1 species